rnacentral:rRNA from 1 species
UACGGGGGGGGGCAAGCGUUGUUCGGAAUUACUGGGCGUAAAGGGCUCGUAGGUGGCCAACUAAGUCAGACGUGAAAUCCCUCGGCUUAACCGGGGAACUGCGUCUGAUACUGGAUGGCUUGAGUUCGGGAGAGGGAUGCGGAAUUCCAGGUGUAGCGGUGAAAUGCGUAGAUAUCUGGAGGAACACCGGUGGCGGAAGGCGGA